AGCGUAGGCGGACUUUUAAGUGAGAUGUGAAAUACCCAGGCUCAACCUGGGGGCUGCAUUUCAAACUGGAAGUCUAGAGUGCAGGAGAGGAGAGUGGAAUUCCUAGUGUAGCGGUGAAAUGCGUAGAGAUUAGGAAGAAUACCAGUGGCGAAGGCGCCUUUCUGGACUGUAACUGACACUGAGGCUGAAAGCGUGGGGGAGCAAACA
rnacentral:rRNA from 1 species